ensembl:lncRNA
ACUUGCUUCUUCUUUUCUCAGCUGUUGCAUCUUCAGCUAAGCCAGGUUUCUUCCUGGAUGAUUUGGCUGUGUGUGUACAGACCCCAGAAGACAAAAAGAGCAAAGCAGAGACUCAUCCUGCAACCUGAUGAAACAACUGGCCUGUGGGAGGCCCUCGCUGCUGGUACCUGCGGGCCUUCCCACCUGAAGCAGCGUGUUGUUCUUUUUUUUACUGAUCUGGAGGUAGAAAACUCUGUGAAAUACUGCAAAGUAAAAUUGUUUGGGAGCCAAAAAAGUGUCUAGAGCCACACAAUUUCCAUAUGUGGGUAUGAUGAAUUUUCAACUGACCAGUCAACAAAGACUCUUCGUCUUCAAAGUGGAAUUCAGCAUUUCAGAAGGUGUGCCAGCCAGCAAGGUGUUCACCACAUGAGAAUCCCACAGUGAUGGAAAACUUCAGGUGGGCCUCAGGGCUUGCACAGCGGAUCUGGAGUGUUAGGCACGGCCCCAAACCUCCCCUUGGCAUCCAACGAGGAGACUGGAAGCCUCAGAGGCCGAGGGGCAUCACACUGGAUUGUAGCAUCUGAGCCGGGAGAGGCUCCUAUGCCUGCCUUUCCGCCUUUUUGUCUAUUUGAAUGUGAUUCCAUCAGGGGAAGACUUCCAGAGAUCCACGCAAAUCCUUUGUAUUACUGAACCAACAGAGGGUCUCAUAGCCCACUCUGGAGCUCUUCCCCAUCUCUGUCAGGAAAUGAUUCUUAGAGAGAACCUAAAUCCCUCUUGCUUCUUUCUCUAAUUUCUGUUUGUUCUCUCUUUUCCAAAGAAGCAUCAGUUGCUACUCUCCCCCUGCCUUUUAAAAAGCUCUUAUUUAUUUAUUGCUGUGCUGGUUCUUUGUGACUGCACACGCUUUUCUCUAGGCGUGGCAGCUGGGGGCUCCUCUCUGGUUCCAAUGCGUGGGCUUCUCAUGGUGGCUUCUCUCAUUGCAGAGCACGGGGUCUAGGCCACACAGGCUUCAGUGGUUACAGUGCCUGGGCUCAGUGGUUGCAACUCCCAGGCUCGAGAGCACAGGCUCCAGAGUUGUGGUGCAUGGGCUUCAUUGCUCUGCAGCAUGUGGAAUCCUCCUGGACCAGGGAUUGAACCCAUGUCUCCUGCAUUGGCAGGUGACUUCUUUACCACUGAGCCACCAGGGAAGUCCCCAUUCUCUCUUUUGUCUAUAGGGAGAGGAUAGCGCCCCUAUCCUC